rnacentral:rRNA from 1 species
UGGGGAAUUUUGGACAAUGGGCGCAAGCCUGAUCCAGCCAUUCCGCGUGCAGGAUGAAGGCCCUCGGGUUGUAAACUGCUUUUGUACGGAACGAAAAGGCUCUCUCUAAUACAGGGGGCUGAUGACGGUACCGUAAGAAUAAGCACCGGCUAACUACGUGCCAGCAGCCGCGGUAAUACGUAGGGUGCAAGCGUUAAUCGGAAUUACUGGGCGUAAAGCGUGCGCAGGCGGUGAUGUAAGACAGGUGUGAAAUCCCCGGGCUUAACCUGGGAACUGCAUUUGUGACUGCAUCGCUGGAGUGCGGCAGAGGGGGAUGGAAUUCCGCGUGUAGCAGUGAAAUGCGUAGAUAUGCGGAGGAACACCGAUGGCGAAGGCAAUCCCCUGGGCCUGCACUGACGCUCAUGCACGAAAGCGUGGGGAGCAAACA